UGUUUUUUUUUUUUUUUUUGACACCCUAUGUUGUUAUAGCAAACAACACAUCUCAAACAAAAAUUAAAUUCCAUACGAAUGGGAAAUAUUUCAGAUACUUUCUCAUCUUUCAUCUAUAGCAAGAUUUGUCACUUUCCUUUAUUGAGUCUCUUUCAGCAGCCAUUAACUUUCCCACAGGAUGUUUGUUAGCGUUAGGCAGCUCGGGUUGUUUUUUUAAAGCCCACCAGCCUGUUACUCCCCAACUCGCUCCUUCAGCAGUAGUGAAGGACUCGGUCGUGCUGUGUUCCUUUGGCCUCACCCUCCUUGCUGCCAGCCUUUUCCAUCAGCUCCCUGCCAACCGUGGCUGGACAUGCAGAGGUGCUUUUUCCUGCCCACCAUCUCUGCCGAGGAACACCCGAGGACGUCCCAUCCUGCCACUCUUCCUCAGGAGGGAUUGGAGUAGGUAAAAUCUGCCAAGUUCAGCUCUGGGGUAGCCUCUGAUGUUAUUUAAUUAAAGCCCCCAGCCAUCCCAUCUCUUCUCAGUGAGCAGGAACAAACCUCCCUGUGCAUUUCUUUUUGGAGAGGCAUUCAGGAAGUCCACCCUUCAGCCCCUACCAACCAUCACACACUGUAGAUUUAUCCAUAUAUACAUAUUCACUGUUUAUUCCCUCAUGAUCCCAUGUGCCUUCACAGUCCCUGUGGGACUGGCAAACUGGAAGAAGAUGUUGUUCCUAUUCAUUCCUCAUCCUCCAAAUACCAUUUUGGACACUCAAGAACAGUGUCAUUGUUCCCUGGUUUACAUGUCACAUCAACCCUUGAGAUUUCCCAUUCUUGCACCAGAUUCAUGCCCUUUGAUUCAGGCACUACAUUCUUUAUUAUUCUUAUGUAGCUUUUUUUCCUUUUCCUACUCUUUUCAAACCCAGGUUAAAGGCCACUUUGGGGGAUUAUAGAGUUGAUAUUAUGUGUUUCUUUGCUUUGCUUUUUUCUGCUUUGUGUAGGAAAUGGGGGUUUUGUAGUGUUGACCAGAGAUGAAUUUGCAUACGUGUUUCAUCCAAAAAUUAAUCUUUUUCUUUCAACAACAAUUAAAAUAAAUCUCAAAAUCCCCUUUGAAGACCCCAUGAAUUAAUAUUUGGCGUCUGGUUUCUAUUCUGUUGUCUUCAAUGUUUAUGCAACUUUUCCCUCAGAUUGUUUGAACUGAUACCUCAAGCUAUCCUUUCCCACCCCUCCACCACUGUAGCUGUAUGGAGUUUUCCAAACUUUUUCCUCAAAAGGCUUUCCUAAAACAAAAGUUUUUUUACAAAUAUGUGAACUGUGAUUUGUCCUCUGAAUAGGACUGAUUUAAGAUUUGUUUUCUAAACCCAAGGUCUAGUUCAGAUGUAAAAGCACGAUUGCAUGUGGUAAGACACAGUCUGUUUUUCAUUAAGCUAUGCUUUUCUUAUGUUUACUCAAGAUGUACAUCACGAUACAUACCUUGUCUCAAUUACACUUGCAUUUGCAGCAUGUGAAUACUGAAAUUUUUCUGAUCCCUAUAAGUUAUAUAAUGGAAAUAUUUAUGUGAAACUCAUGCAGGAUAUCAUACUUUGUACUAAAUAUUUUUAAUAUGGAAAAAACAUUAUCAAUAGAGUACAGUAAUAUAUUGUAGGUCUAAUACUCUAUGAUUUCAAAAACUAUUUUCACCUUUGAAUUUUCUUCAUACACUAAAAGAUAUGGAGAAGAGUUAAAACAUUACAUAUAUAGGAUAAGGGUAGUGAUAGAAGUGCCUAAGUCAAGAUGACUGUGAGCCUGGGUAGCCCUUGUGUACAUUACAACUUGGAGAGUUCAGAGUUGAGUGAGAUGUCUUGAAAAAACCAAUGUGCAAUGGAGAGAUCUUCCAUAACACCAAAGUCUCCAGCAAAGUCCUUUUCCUGAGCCACGUUUCCUUACCUCAAUCUGCAAAGUAGGAUAACAGUAUUUUCUCACAGCACAGUGCUGCUCUCAGGAGAACUUCCAGGAUCUGUGCUACUUCGGUCAAAAUAAGCUGUAGUGCUUCCCCCCUAACAAGGCACAACCAUUCAUGCACCCAGGGUCUCCCUGGAUCCCCUCUUGUCAGGAUGUGAGUCCAAUCUCCUGCAGGUCAAUCCAACCAGGACACUCUCCUGCUCUUCAGCAUCUUCACUAGGCAGCAUGUCCCUCGUUCUUCAACUAAAAGAAGGCAAAUUCUACUCAACUUCCUACCUACAAGUCCCUUCAUUCUCUGAAAGUGCCCUGACUCCCAUUAGAGUCUCUGGAAAACAGGGAACUCUAUCUUUUCUAUUCUGUAAAUCUAAGCAAGUUAGCUUUCUUCCAUCAAAAAGCAGUUUAUCCGCUGUAAUAGUAGGGUUAAAACAAAUAUUACCUUAUUAUUAUAUUACCUUAUACACUGGCUUCCUGGUGUUUUUUGUAAUGUUAUGCAUUCUUAUUGGAUCUUUUGACAGCCUGUGUUGCUCUAGUAAAUAACACACCUUAAAAAAAAAUAAAAGCCAUAUUAAUGGGAAAUAUUUCAGCUAUUUUCCCCUUUGUCACAACGUUAUUUAUCAUUAUCUUCAUUUCAAGUUCCUCAUCUUUCAACUUCUUAGAAGUAAUUAGAUUUAAUAGAUAAUAAAACCACUAACAACAACCAUCAUGUUACUGAGAGCCAGAAUGAAAACACCUAAAGCAGUGGCUCUGCUUUGCAUCUAUCCUGCAACACCCACAGCCUUUCAGUAACCUCAGGAAGAGAGAGUAAACCAGCCAAUAUUCCUGCUGACUGUGUAUCCUGUGCAGGACCUGGCUGUGCCAGUGCUCAAAAGCAGGGAGGUUCAGCACAGAAUGGAUUCAUGGAGCAACACACUGGAGCUGAGAACCCACCAUCCACACCACACAUAUUUUAGCUGAUAACUUUUAGGGUGCCUCUAGCCCACUCCCAGAGACUGGCCACCCUUCACAGCUUCCAGUUUAGCUGCUAUUGAAAAAAAACCACCACGUGUGCCUGCCUUAAGACUGCCUUGUAACACAAGCCAAAGCAGGAAGGCCAGGAGUUUCUCCUCAAAAGCACAUUCCUGAUCCAUGGUUCAGGCUCCUGGAUCCUAUCAUAGUUUCACUACCAGUAAUAAUACAAAGAUCAUGAGUCAGGCUGUCAAACUGCUCCUACUUCCCUCUACAGAGUAACUCCUCCAGAACUGAAGGUAUUUUCUCUCCAGAGGCAUCCGGCAGCCGAAGUGGUGCCAGGUUGUGCUGUUGGUCUCCAAAGGCUGAUCCCCACUGAAGACCCUGGCAUCUGUCUCUGUGUGAUGUCCUUGGUGUGUGAUGGAUGCAGCAGAAAACAGUGCUUGGUUGGGAUCCCCAAGAAAAUACAGAAGAGAAAUUAAUGUCAAGGAAUUGUCAGUAAAAUACAUGAGUAUCUGCUUCAGCAUGGCAGAGUGCAGGCAGAAAAGUAGGUGAGUUCAGGCUCCUCAUAGACAUAUUUCUAUCAUCUAAAUAUCUGAGUGAAAUGAGUACUAAGGUGUAGGAAAAUCAGCAUUUUGUUAAUUUUCCAGAGAAAGAGUGGAAAAGAGAUAUGGGUGACUUUUGGGGUGGGGAAAAAUCAUUCAAUUUCACUCAGUCUGAAAUUGAUAGCAGUGGGUUUCAUUCCUUUCAGCAACAGCAUAUCUCAGCCCACAAAUAAAAACAAGAAAACCAAAACUAAUCCACAUUUUUGAAAGAAUCUGUACAAACACAUCAACAGUAUGAAUGAAAAUGUAUUGAAAGUGGCUUCAAAAGCAGCUCAAAGUAAGCCAUGAGAAAAUUUCAAAGGAAGAAAGCCAGAUAAUGACAGAACUGAAGAGAAAAAAACCAAGCCAACUCAAUAACAUUGAAAAUGGUACAGAGGGAUAGACCUCUACUUAAUCUUGGUACACCUCAGUCAAGGAAGCUGUUACACACAGUCUGUGAGAAGUUAGAACUUAGGCCAGUGUAUCUGGACUAUGCAAAGACUCCAAUGAAAGUCAGGCAUCACUUAGAAAAUGCAAUUAUCCUGUGUGGCUACUGAAAUGAGCAUUAGCUGAGAGGCUGGAGCACAGGGAAGUUGGCAGGGCUAAGGAGAAGGGGUUGUGGCAAAGCAGACAAGGCCACCUGUGCCAAAAGAGGAAUGGCUGUGUCCCUCAGGGUGCAGUGCUGGCUUUGAUUGACUCCUCGUGCCAUCAGAGCUUCAAAGGUUACCACACCACUGCUGGGACAAGCUGUAGGAAGGGAAUGGAAAAUGUCAAAAAUCAUCAUGGUAUUUUUCCUUAGGUGGUAGCAGGGACCUCAAGCCAUGGCACCACAUCCAAGAUCUUAAACAUCAAAACGCUGAGAAACUGAGACAGUGCAAGGUAAUGAGAACUUCCCAGAGACUGAUGGGCACCCUCAGUGCCACCAGGCAAUGACAUUUGAAUUUAGUGGAUGCUCCCAGGACUGGAGCCAGUGUCCUUGUGAAUGCAGGGUGGAGACAGCGGCUGGAUUGGAUCCACCCUGCAAGUGAACAUCUUUCUCAGGCAACUACUGCUGAUGGCACAGGGAAAGCAAGGUCGUGCUUGUAAGAUGCAGAAGUGAUGACAUUUCUGGGGUUUAAUUAACUGCCAGGACAACUUGGGGGUGGUACAAUAUGAGCACACAACAUAAAAACAAAUCCAUACUCGUGGAUUUGUGCUCAUUAGUAGAAGCUAAGUCCUGAUCCUAUCAGCUAGAUAUUUUCUUUAGACCUGUCUUUUAACACCUCAAAGUAUAAAGCAAAUUUUCUUAACAACACAGACAGUCAUGGACCUCAUCUAAAACCUGACAUCACUGUUGAUAUAAACAGAUUAAAAAAGAGCAAUGCAGAUGCAACAGGUAUUAGUCCAGUUGUGUAAUGUGCAGGCAAUCAAGAGGGCCAGAAGGAUAUAUCCUGAUUGCAUAAGUAAACCUAACACCUUUUGUUGCAGUCAGUCAUUUUAAACCCAGUACCCUGCUAGGAUCUCUCGGGCCUGGAAAGCAGGGAGGAGGUCCAGAGAAGCUCAGGAGCAUUGGCCCUUACAUUAGCAUGCUUACGUGGUUCCCUUCUCUCUCCCUUCACACUCCCUGUCACAAGAAGGCGAUCUUCACCCCUGGGAAUAAUAACAGGUUUGACUCACCUGGGCCUGGCACAUGUACACCAUGAGGUUACCUGUGCAGGGGCCUUUAGUGCUCAUGUUGGGAGCUUCAAAUCUGUUGCUUGAUUGCUGAGCCUUGCUUCCCAGGCUGUUUGAAACCCUCCUUUAAACAUAUGCUAUAUUGUUUCAGGUGUCCAAAGUUUUAUUUUACUUCUCUAGUAAAUAUCUUCCAGCUCCUAAAUGAGAACUGUGGGAAAACUGCUCCCCCAAUGCAAUUUAAAAAUCACCCUGCAGAGACCUUAUGUUCCUCAGCUUAAAUCCAGCCUUCAGUGUGUCUUGAGUUAUGAGGCUGUCCAGACCACUAAUAGAG
ensembl:lncRNA